UUGUGGCGCACAUAGGGCGCCAUGCCCGUGGAUGGCCACCACGUUGCCUCCCCAAGGCUAUAUAUACGUCCUCUGGAAACCCUAAACUGCCCUCUUUCAUUCCCCCUUCGCCCCCUUCCUCUACUGCCCGAAUCUGAGCUCGAAAGAUCCGUGGUGACCGUUGCCUCUUCGUCGUUGACGCGGCCACCGGCGUCUCCGGCGUGCGGGAGCACGUCGAGGAGGUCCGCCACGGUCGACUUCGUCCGUCCCGGGGACCGAAUCAAGCCAAGGCGCCGCAUAGACGUCGCCAUCACCGGUCUUCUCCACCAUGGCCGACACCACCAUGUCGUCAUUGCCUCUGCUACAGACCGCCCCUGGCCUCCCCGGCCUCGCCAUCGCGCUCACAACCGCUGUCGGUACCCCUGUGUUCGACCACAUCGACGAUGACCCCUCCUUCUUGCCAGAGCAACCAGACGUUGGAGUCCAGGAGUCAGGCGCCACUGUCGAUGACGAAUGCUACUACUCGGGAGGU